UGUGUACUUAGCACGAGAAUUUAUUUAUUCAAAUUUUAUUAUAGUAUUAUUAUAUACUGUACCAUUACUAUUAUUGUGUGAAAUUAAUAUUAAAUUACUUUUACAGAACAUAGUAUGUUGUAACAAUCAUUAUGUUGGUUUAUGUUAUGUCUUUAUUAUUAUCUUAUUUAAGAACAUUUUAUUAAGUGGAAAAAUACAUUGUCAUGCAUGGUUGUGUUUCUAAUGUAAUACACAGCUUAAACAUAGUUUAAUAGGCUUUAAUUAGUCAACCACAAUUAUUUCAGGUUAUUAAGAUUUUAUUUGCACAAAAGAACUGCAAACUGUCGUCUAUCGUCAAAAAAGUCCUCACUGUUGCUUGACCCUUGAUAUUCAAUAUGUUUUUGAUCUGCACUGACAUCGUUGUAUUGUAUGCUAAUUGAACUGUGCUGGAUGAUGACAUCGCUGUUUUCUCUAGUGCUGAUAAAUUAACUAAAUUAUUAACUAUUAAUUUUUACAACCAAAUUAAACAAUACUGAAUUUACUUAAGAUGGAUACUGACACUAUUUUCUUUAAGAGUUGCUGUGCAGCCAAAACUAUACACCAGUUAUCACUGUAAAGCUGCUUUGACACAAUCUGCAUUGUAAAAAGCGCUAUAUAAAUAAAGGAGACUCGACUUGUUUCAGCAGUUGGUCAAAAGUGACGCUAUAAUGCUUUAGUCUUUAUACACAUAGUUAGAAAAACAAAUUCAACCAUAGCAAGUGAAGAAAACACCAUGAGAUGGAGAUGAGGAAGAAACCGGGGGUAAUUGUGCUGCGUUCAGUCACUAACAUGAUCUUCUCUGUGACCCAGAUGAUGCCGGCAGUGGCAGGAACAGUGAAGAGAGCUGAGGUGCGUUCAUCCAUUAAACAAUCCCUGAAAGAAGAAGAAGCAGUUCAUCCUCCAUGAGGUCGACUGUGGAGGACUGGAGCUUCAUCACUGUCACCAUAUCUUGAGAGGAUCAGAGGGGCAGGACAAAGAUCCUGCAGUAAAGAGAAAUGAAUUCUGGUUUAUGUUAUGUUAAAUAGUCAGAAAUUAAUCAUGUGAUAAAUCCUAAACUCAAUCAGUUUUGUAUUAAAUGGAAACUUUUCUAGCUGGACAGUGUAUAUUGUAUUGUAUUGUAUUGUAUUGAUACAGUAUACUGUAUCACAGUUUGUUGUUUAGAAUGACAUUUUAUAAUUAAAUCCAACAUUACUCUUGACAAAUUAUGCAAGUUUUGAUGUUUUAUUAAUUAUUUGCUUAAUAUCUUAAGUGACAUAUGUAACCCAUGUUAAAUGUGCCUAAAGAAAAUAAAUAAUAAAAUUGUAUAAUCUACUAAUUACACUUUUAAUUAAAAAGUUGAAACGUUCUAUUCAUAUGCAUCGUAAAUUAAUUGUGUAUAAAUAAAAAUAAUUCGUAUUAUAAUUAAGCGCAGAACACGUCAUGUAUUACACGAACACGUUGUGUGACGUAAGCAGAUGCCUCACGGAAGUGCGCGAGACGCGCUGAACACAAGACAAAAGAGCGAUACUAAGGGAUUAAAAAGGUUUAUGUUGUUAUAAUUAAUUUAAUAUGGGUAUGAGUAACUUUAUAAUAUUUUAUGUUUGAUGAUGAUGAAUGGUUUUAGAGUGAUGAUUGCUGAUUUAAGAGUGGAUGUUAGCGGAUUGUGAUCCUCUGAAUCUGAAGCGGGUGUUUAUCAAACUGAGAAACUCGGGAUUCGAUAAAAUGAGCCAAAAAGAGAUUUAUCUCAGACUGAAAGGUCAAAAAUGAUUAAAUUCCCACGAGAAGGAUGCUAUACUAGAUAUUGCAGUUAAUGAGCAUUUUGCUGUCCAAUGGUCAUGCCUUAAGUCAGACA